rnacentral:ncRNA from 2 species
AGAGAAUAAUUUUUAGGGUGAAGUAGGUGAAACUCCUACGCUGUGCCGCAACUGUUAAAGUCAGAGCCCCGUUCCCU